rnacentral:rRNA from 1 species
UGGCGGCGUGCCUAAUACAUGCAAGUCGAACGGUCUUUUCUAUGGAAGCUUGCUUCCACUGAGAAGAUAGUGGCGAACGGGUGAGUAACAACGUGGGUAACCUGCCCAUAAGAGGGGGGAUAACAUCCGGAAACGGGUGCUAAUACCGCAUAGUUUUCUUGGUCGCAUGAUCGGGAAAGGAAAGACGGCCUUUGUGCUGUCGCUUAUGGAUGGACCCGCGGCGUAUUAGUUAGUUGGUGAGGUAACGGCUCACCAAGACGAUGAUACGUAGCCGACCUGAGAGGGUGAUCGGCCACAUUGGGACUGAGACACGGCCCAAACUCCUACGGGAGGCAGCAGUAGGGAAUCUUCCGCAAUGGACGAAAGUCUGACGGAGCAACGCCGCGUGAGUGAAGAAAAGGUUUUCGGAUCGUAAAACUCUGUUGUCAGAGAAGAACAAGUUGGAGAGUAACUGCUCCAGCCUUGACGGUAUCUGACCAGAAAGCCACGGCUAACUACGUGCCAGCAGCGGC